CCUAGCCGCUGAAGCAAUUUAAUUAAUUGGUCACGUAACAGGACUACCCGCUUGAGCGACUUUUUAUUGAGGUAAUUUGAUUGACACCAUCUGGAACACUCUCCAUGUUUGGCAAACGCAGAUACCACAUUAAGAUUCGGAAAUAUCAAUUUGUUUUGCUCUCUCCGUCAAUAGGCCAUACCUUUAAUACUUUCUUGUCCUCGUGUUGGAUAAUAGAAGAGAGCUUGGACCUGCAUCGCUGCUACAAUCGAUGCAAUUUCCAUUGAACACUAAUUAAUGGCAAUAAAACAAUUAUAUUGAAA